rnacentral:rRNA from 1 species
GAUGAACGCUGGCGGCGUGCCUAAUACAUGCAAGUCGAGCGAAGCGGGGACGGGUGAGUAACACGUGGAUACCCUCCUAUAAGACUGGGAUAACUUCGUGAAACCUGACCUCAACCCGAUACUUAUAGAUGGAUCCGCGCUGCAUUAUCUAGUUGGUAAGGUAACGGCUUACAAGGGCAACGAUGCAUAGCCGACCUGAGAGUGGGAUGGCACAAACUGGAACUGAGACACGGUCCAGAACUCUAAGGGAGGCAGCAGUAGGGACUCUUCCGCAAUGGGCGAAAGCCGGACGGACCAACGCCGCGUGAGUGAUGAAGGUUUUCGGUUCUGAAAACUCUGUUAUUAGGGAAGCGGUACCUAAUCAGAAAGCCACGGCUAACUACGGGCCAGCAGCCGCGGUAAUAC